rnacentral:lncRNA from 1 species
UGGUGUGUGUGGGUCGGAGGGGGUUUGGUAUUGGCGGUGGAAAGACUCGCGAGGAGGAUGAAGGCGGCGGCGUUGUUGGAGAGGAUGAAGGCCGAGGGCUGCGAUUUGGGGAUCUAGGAGGUCGAGGGCCUGAUUUUGGUGGAAGAGCUGGCCGGCGGUGGUGGAAAGCUUGAGGAAGGAGAGGAACGACGCUGUUUGAGAGAGAGAGAUGAAUUUUUGUUUUUUUUUUUAAUUUUUUUUAAUAAAAAUGAUAUGUGUAUUGCCAAAUCAAUUAAAUUGCCACGCGUAUUGCCACAUACAAUAAAAAUGCCACGCGUAUAGUCCACGUCAUUGCCGGUCAACUUUAAUUAUGGCCGGAGUUCUCGCCGUGUGCAAAUUACAACAAAAUCAAUAGCUCAUGUAUUCUGGGGCUAUUUUUGAAGGUCAUGUGCAAAAUGCAAAUUUGGUGAAACUUCGUGUAUUUUUUUG